GUUGUCUCAAUGUAUGGGCUCUCAGUUUUUCAAACCCAGACCACAAAUGAAGAACAAAUCCCCAAAAGGAUUCUCCUUGAAUAUUACCCUUACCACUGCCAGGUAUUAUUAUAUAUAAAUAUCCAUCAGUUUUGAAAUUUUUGGUUACUUGAGUAAUCUGUUAAUUUAUCUUAUUCAUUUUGGUUAUGUUGAGAACACCUGUAGUAAGUGCGAUUUAGUUAACACAAGUUGGACACUUAGUUGUAACCGGUAGUAAAGAGAACCUGACGAUUCCACCACUGAAGGUUGUGUCGUUUAUGGCUAAUUAACUUAGAUGGCGUCUCAUAUUAAUGAUUAUAUUAAUUAGUUACCCUUUGAAGCCUAGUAAAUCUGGUCCAGGUGAUGGGAUAAUUACAACAUAUACACAUGAGACUGGUACACACGUAUAUGGGAUAAAUAUAAAAGUUACAAAAUAUUGACACUUGCAGUAAUAUACUAAUAUGUCGUAUGUAUGCCAUGCAAAUGGGAUAAGUCUAUCAACAUGAAUCUUACUUUUGAUUUUGGUUUUUUAGCCCAUUCAGUCCCUAGUAUGCAUUGCAUGAACCAAAAGACUUGUAAAAUAAAAUAGGUUAUUCCAAACCACUAGCCACUUCUAAAAUGGUGCAUUUGACCAGUAUUGUAUUCUAAUUAAAUAUAAUUCAUAUCUAUGGUGAAUUUACAUGUUCUCGGACAUAUAAAAAUAAUAACAAUCAUAUGCUAAAUAACAUUGUAUGAAUUUCUUGAUUUAGACACCAACAUUCAUUGGCAACUGAUGAUCUUGGAAGAACAUCCUCAAUAUGGAAAUGUCGAAGUAUAGAUAAGGCCAAACGAAUAGGGACUUCAGGAUUUUGUGACCCUCUAUGAUGCUCACAAUGAUGCAUAUUAUGACAAAAACAUGCCAAGUGAAAUAAUCUGGUAAAAGCACAUGGAAUGCAAAAUGUGGAGAAAGUAUUCCUGUAAAUAUGAAUACAGCUUUGAAGAAGAUGAAUUUCAGGAUUUUACGACCUUCCAGGUGUCGUAAAUCACUUGUUUGAGAAAACAACCAUAGCGCUGCAACAAAAUUUAUUACCAAUGUUGCUAAGCAAAGUCCCAUGUGUGUCUUGUUUUGUUGAGUAUGUUCGGUGGUCAUCUGGACAACGGUUCCCACUAGCAUCGCCUCAAUCGCUAUAAAAAUAGCAUACAUUGCCAUGUUGAAUGACCUGGAACAACUAUUCUAGUUAAUUCAUGACAUACAUAUAGAAAAAAAAAACAGAAGAUUCUAUGAAAAGUAAAACAAAAGUUUUUUUUUUAUAUAUUAAGGAAUAUAUAUUUAAGAGUUACUAAAGAGGGAGAAUAGUCUCCUGAGUCCUGACUCCUCUACUUGAUGUAAAAUUAUCUUGGUCAAUCUUGAUAUCAUGAUUCAUCAAUAACAAAGUGAAUUGAAGUUAAAUGUGAAAAUUUAGCUCAAACAGAUUCCAGUCAGAUGUCCCACGUAAUAUACAUAAAACUUCUUACUUGUUUGAAAGCAUGAGCCGCGACUGGAAGGUUGCUAAGUCGUUAGUAGAGGACCUAGCUUCAACCGAAGGAGAUCACAAGUUGAAGACCAGCUAGAGGAAUGCCAAGCCACAGUUGGAAAGAGGGGGCAAAAGCUUGUGGAAGCAGCUUGGGCCUCAUUAAAGCUUGAGCUGAAUCUAUUGGAUGCGCCCAGGGCCGAGUCAAUGUUGGGAUGUGAAAUGCGACUGGAAUUGAGUCAACGCUAGGAUGCGGCUGGAAGUUUUUGACCCGAAGCUUGUGAGUCAAGUUUGUUUAAUUGACUUAAGUAUUCGAGUCGGAGUCCAAAUCGCAUAAAAAUAGGAUAGACUUAGUUUGUCUUUAUAGUAUCCGUAUUCGAGUAGUUUGUCUUUAUAGUCUCCGUAUUUGUAUAAUGCGUUGCGGCCCUUUUGAUUUGGUUUUUUAUUGGGUUUAGAAUUGUAAUUUAUGUUGGCUAUUGGUAAUUGGGUUUAGUUAA
rnacentral:lncRNA from 1 species